rnacentral:rRNA from 1 species
UGGUGGUCCCACCUGACCCCAUGCCGAACUCAGAAGUGAAACGCCGUAGCGCCGAUGGUAGUGUGGGGUCUCCCCAUGCGAGAGUAGGGAACUGCCAGGCA